rnacentral:lncRNA from 1 species
AAAAGAAUGCUACACACCCAACAUCACAACUCACACAGUCACAUGUAUAUAAGCAAUUAUGCACGAUUACAGUAUAUACUGCUAGUACUUGAUAGUUGAUACACAUUUACACAACGCAUGUUCGCUGCUCCACACCAAAAGAUAGCCAGAGCUAGCUGCCCAUGCAUGUAUGCGUUAUACAGAUUACACAUGACAUGUGGCAUGCAUGUACUAUGCGUACUUACCUUGAGAAGGUGCUAGCUCCAUGCACGCGGGCAUGCAUGAGGAUGCAGGUGGUGGUACAGUAUGUAUGUAGUAGGUGCUAAUCGAUCGAUGGAGUGGAUUAUGAAGGGCACUGGAACGAGGACGGCACGUGCUUGCCGCACUGGUUGACGAGCACCGAGAUGGCGACGGGGAGCACGAGUUUGACGUUCAGCACCUUGGCCUUGAUGGUGGUGCAGAGGCAGAGCGCGGCGUCGAGGUCGGCCACGCCGGACAGCAGCGGGCAGCAGGUCUCGCUGGCC